AGGGCAGGCCGGGAGUUGUAGUUCCCGUUGGUCGCCGUGGAGGGGAUCGCGAUGGCGAACUGCUGCCGCAUCGGGCCGUCCAUCCUCAACAGCGACCUGUCGCGCCUGGGCGCCGAGUGCCGCCGCAUGCUGGCUUGUGGAGCCGAUUACCUGCAUUUGGAUGUGAUGGACGGCCAUUUUGUGCCUAACAUCACCUUUGGUCAUCCUGUGGUGGAAUGUCUUCGGCAAGAUCUUGGACAAGAGCCCUUCUUUGACAUGCACAUGAUGGUCUCAAAGCCGGAGCAGUGGGUGAAUCCUAUGGCAGUAGCAGGAGCGAAUCAGUACACAUUCCACCUGGAGGCUACGAACAACCCUGGUCCUCUCAUCAAAGACAUAAGAGAAAAUUGUAUGAAGGUGGGGUUGGCAAUUAAACCAGGGACAUCUGUAGAAGAUUUGGCUCCAUGGGCAAAUCAGAUUGAUAUGGCUCUGGUGAUGACUGUGGAGCCAGGGUUUGGAGGUCAGAGUUUCAUGGCUGAUAUGAUGACAAAGGUGCUUUGGUUGAGGACACAGUUUCCUUCCCUGGAUAUUGAAGUUGAUGGAGGUGUAGGACCAGACACUAUUCAUAAAUGUGCAGAGGCUGGAGCAAACAUGAUUGUGUCUGGCAGUGCUGUCAUGAAGAGUGAUGAUCCCAGAACGGUGAUCAACCUGCUCCGAAAUGCUUGUAUGGAAGCUAUUCAGAAGCGUAGUCUGGACAGGUGAAAGCUCAACAGUGCAACUACUCCAUGCCUGCUUCAAGUGCAAAUGGCACUCUCUCCGAAGCUGCCCGGCCAUUCUCACUGAAUGCGGAGUAUAAUCUUGUGAGAGGCAUAAGACUACGUUUUUCAUCUACAACUUCUUCCGGAUGAUUUAAGUGUUUUAUAUCUUCCUCGUUCAAAGGGAAUGUACGACAAUUCCAUGGUAGUACAACCUGCAAUAAAGUAUAAUAUUUUUAAAUGGGA